UUGAGGGAUGGCUCAGUUGGUAGAGCAUGAGACACUUAAUCUCAGGGUUGUGGGUUUGAGCCCCAUGCUGGGCAAAA
rnacentral:tRNA from 1 species